rnacentral:rRNA from 1 species
AUUCCAGCUCCAAUAGCGUAUAUUAAAGUUGUUGCAGUUAAAAAGCUCGUAGUUGGAUUUCUGACAGGGGGCCGAACACCACUGUAGUGAGUGUUUUGGUACCUGUCAUCCUUCUGUUAACCCUAGCGUCAUUCAUUUGUCGUUGGGCGGACCAGAUACUUUACCUUGAGAAAAUUAGAGUGUUUCAGGCAGGCCUAGCCGGAAUACAUUAGCAUGGAAUAAUGGAAUAGGACUAUAGUCUCGUCGUUGGUUACGUGGACUGCAGUAAUGAUUAAUAGGGAUAGUUGGGGGUGCUAGUAUUGGCCGGCCAGAGGUGAAAUUCUUGGAUUCGGUCAAGACCAACUUAUGCGAAAGCAUUCACCAAGGAUGUCUUCAUCA